GUGGGAAGAGACGGAGGAGAGGCCGGCAGGAAAGAAGAAUGUGGGGACUCACCUAGCGGUCCUCAGAGGUCCUUCCAGCCCUGCUGCUCCUGAUUCUCCUCAACACUCUAGCGACCCUGUCUGUAAAGAAGGGAUGAAGAAAUAAACACACCGGACCCAACCUCUGGCAGAGGCUUGAUAAAUGGGUCUGCCAUUCUCCAAGGUACAGAUACUACUGCCAUGACAAAUUCCAAGGUGCCAGCAGCGACGUCGAUGAUCCAGAGCCAGGAAGAGAGACACAGCAGCACAACACUAUACGACAGGACUGUGCAUCCCCAAGUUUGCAGGCCCGUGGAUCUCAGGCUUCGCCGUGGAUAAGAUAGAGGAAUUUAUUUCCGCAUGCCCUCUCGUCUCCUUCUGUUAACGUUAGUUAUGUGUAACUCCUGUAACUCUGUCUGUUAUAGAAGACAUUCCUUCCAGGUGCUCCCUUCUUUGCAAGGAUGGUACCGAGAAGAGUGAUAUCAAGGCCAGACCCCUUGCACGUUAUGGAACCUUCCAGUUUACUUAGCUAAAAUCUCACUAAUUCCCGCAGCAACUCUGCAAAAUGGGGCAGGUGGAGCCAUGAAGCUGUGGGUGAAGCUGGCCACACCAAGUUAGCCGACCUUUUCGGUAGAGUGCUGGACGAUCUGCACACAGCGUGGCUACGUUCCAAUAAACUGUGUCAGGACACAGAAAUUAGAAUUAUAGUAACGUUCACACGCCACGAAAUGUUAUACUUCUUUUGAUUUUUUCCAUCCAUUUCAAAAUACAAUCCCCCCUUUUUUUAAACACAAAGACCACAUAAAAAUGAGCCCCAGGCAAAAUUUGGUCUCCGGGCCAUAGUUUGGUUACCCUAGCGAAAGAGAGUAAGCUCCAGAGAGAACAGAGACUACUUUAAAUUGAUGCACAGUGGCGGGUUGUGACUGGCUUGGUGCUUAGGACACAGGACUUUUCACUACUCUUCCCAGCACCACAAAGGAGCCGUUGCAGGGAACGAUGAGGUGGACCCAAGAUGGUUAAUGGUUACAGGGGUGCAGUUGGGUGGAAUAAAUAACCUCUAGGGUUCUCCUGCACAGUGAAUUAACAAUGAUUAAAACCAAUUGAUUGUAUAUUUCAAAGCAGCUAGUACAGAAGAUUUUCAGUGUUCCCAGUACAAAGAAAUGAUAAAUUCCUCUGCUCUGUUCCUCACACAUGGUAAAGACAUGUGGAGACGUCACAUGCUACCCACAAAGAUGUGCAAUCAUAUGUAUCGAUUGAAA